rnacentral:misc_RNA from 1 species
GCAUAUUCCAAGCUUAAAUUGGCCAAUGGUGAGGGUUUUAGUCUCUGGAUACCGUGAAUCUUCAUCAUAUUCACCACGAGUAAUAUGCAGAUCAGGACAAAGACUCUUCAAAUAAUCAUGCACUUCUUUAAUGCAGAGAUUGCCAGUGCAAAUGAUGUGUUGAAUCUUGCCAGGAACAAGCAUGGACUUGAACUUCGGGGGGAGAUCCCAGAUCAGCUGCCCUGUGAGGUAUGUGAAGGUCUCCUAUAGCUAAAACCAACACCAUUUUCUCCAA